CAGUCGCCGCGGGAAUACGUAGGUGGCGAGCGUUGUCCGGAAUUAUUGGGCGUAAAGGGAGCGCAGGCGGACAUAUAAGUCCAUCUUAAAAGUGCGGGGCUCAACCCCGUGAGGGGAUGGAAACUGUAUGCCUUGAGUGCAGGAGAGGAAAGCGGAAUUCCCAGUGUAGCGGUGAAAUGCGUAGAUAUUGGGAGGAACACCAGUGGCGAAGGCGGCUUUCUGGACUGCAACUGACGCUGAGGCUCGAAAGCCAGGGGAGCGAACGGGAUUAGAUACCCGAGUAGUCCCUGUCUCUUAUACA
rnacentral:rRNA from 1 species